rnacentral:tRNA from 1 species
CUAAAUAUAUCAUAAGUUGUUAAUGUCUCUUUUUUACGUAAAGAGUAUGAUGUGAAUAUAUAUCUGUUUAGU